GGCACCCACAUUGGCACCCUCUGGUCUUGUCCCCACAGGACACCCCUCUGUCAUGGUGAUCAAGACGGCUAGGGGGCAGGGAAGGCGAGAAGAGGGAGGAGACACUGGUGUGACUCAUAGCAAAGUAAGAGCUUCUUCCCUCCUCUCUGCACCCCAAAUACGAUGAGGAGACUGAGUCCCAAGAUCACCCAGAUACAAUAAUAAUUGUAGUAUUAACAUACAAGUUACCAUUGAAGGAGCACCGGCUGCGUUCCAGGCACUGUGCUAGACACUUCACAUGCGGUGAACCUGUGAGGCAGAUCCAUGACUGGCAACAUUGUACAGAGGGGAAAACUGAGGCUCAAAGAAGGCAAGUCACUAGCCCAGCUACUGUCACACAGCCAGGCCAGCAGAGCGGCAAUGUCCACUCACACAACCAUGCACAUGGCCACUGUGUCAGCUGCAUGCCUUCCCCACUCCCCAGCUGGCUGAAAACUGGUGGAGCUGAGAUCUGAACCCACAUUUAUCCAUGUUCUUACUCCAAGGCUGGGCUCUACUCCCAUGUUGACUGCUGCUGCCAAGAGAACUUUAAACAGCAGUUCUAGCCACAGCAGGACCCAGCCUGAUCCUGGCCCCAACCUGUGGCCAAAUGGGACAGAGAUCCAGGCCCAGCUUGUCUCAGCCUCUGGCCUGACCUCUCUGGGCCUCAGAGGCCUUGCUAUGAAAGGGGGAGCUGUAGGUAGAAUAAAUGAAGUGGCACUGAGGCCCCCCGGGAC
rnacentral:lncRNA from 1 species